rnacentral:lncRNA from 1 species
CCUUGUGGCAAAGGAAAAGAAAGGGAAGGAUCCUGUCACUUGCCUGAGGCUCGUGUGAAAAUUUUGCCGGAGAUGUGUUAGUUUCUAAAUACAGGGGUGCUGCUGGACCAGGGUUUCUUCCCUCCAGUCUUCCACGUAAACCCAACCUGAGCUUGAAUUUUCCUUCAUCUUCAGAGCUGUGUGUCCUCUGGUGAUAAAUGCAAAUGGAGCUUCUCAAGGGAGGUGGGGCUUUGGGGUUUCUCCUAGGUUGAUGCUGCCAACAAGGGACCAUGUUGUUAUCGCAGAACGCCCUCCCUCUUACUCUCAUCUGUCACAGGGUGAGGGCUCUCACCCAACACCAGCGCUUCCAUCUUGGCUUUUUCGGCUUCUAGAACGGAGAUGGCACAGGGUUCAUGUUGCUGAGGAGGACCAGAGGGCAUUGUGCAGACUAUCUCUAAUUUAAAAGUGACUAUUGGAUGUGGACACUGUGCUCCUUGGGUGGAGAAACCAAGGCAGAGGGCCACUUCCUAGUCUCUCACAAGCACCAGUGAUGCAUGCUGGGAAUGCUGUGGUGAUGAGGCACGUGAGGCUGCGGUACAGCUGACAUCCUAGUAGAUGAUAAUGGACCAAAGAUCUCAGAGUGGGCCAACUGUGAGGUACUGGGUGGGCAGGGAGGGGAAAGUUAGAUUGAGAGCAGGCUGCUGUGGAGAGAGGCAUGGGCAGGGAGAAGGUUAGACCGAGAGUGGGCUGCUGUGGGGGGGAUGCGUGGGCAGAGAAGAGGUUAGACUGAGAGUGGGCUGCUGUGGGGGUACUGCGUGGGUAGGGAGGAGGAGGUUAGAUUGAGAGUGGGCUGCUUGUUGGGGGGGAUGCAUGGGCAGGGAGGAGAAGGUUAGACUGAGAGUGGGCAGGGAGGAGGAGGUUAGAAGGGGAACGGAUCGCUGUUGAGGAUGGAGGGGCAGGGAGGAAGUUCGAAGACCCGAGCUAGAGAAUGGGCCUGGGCAUCACUUCCGAGGGAGAGGCAGUGGCCACCAGGCUUCAGUCAGGGUAUUCUUGCUUACUCUGUAGGCUUGACCUAAGGAGCGGCCACUAGGUCCGUUCCCCCACUUACAAGUGCAAUAUGGUGCUCGCCUGAGUCUGGAUUUUAGACCUGGCUAUUGCUGGGAAUCAGGAAGAACACAGCUGUUGUCAUUAAGGGUGUGAGAGCAAGGAGUAGAAUUGGGUAUGCUCAGGACUUCAUGGAGGUCAAGUUGACUGGUGGAGUGGAUGCUGAGAGACAGGAGAUAGGAGCCAAGGACAGUGGUGAAUGUUCAUGUUGCUGUGUGACCUUAGGCAGCUUGUACAACCUCUGAUCCUCCGCUUCUUCAUCUUCUGGUGGAUGGAAUAGCGUUAGACGUGUUUGGACAAUAAAAUCAAGAAUUUAAUUAUUUAGUUAUCUUUAACUCUUGGCCAUGCCAAUGGGCAGCCGAGUUAGGCCUCUUUUCCAGUCUCUAUGCUUUGUAGCUGGGUAAACUGAGGCCCAGGGAAGAGAUGAGACUUGCAGAUGGACGUGCGACCAAUUGAUGGGAAACUGGAACCCUGGAUUCUAGCUGGUUAUCACAGGUUGCCUGCAGUGAGAUUCUUGGUUUCUUAACGAACACAGAAAUGUUAUGGGAAUGUGUUUUUGUUAUAAUCCCAGGUGUAGGACAUGGGGUGGCUUUGGGCUGUCUGCAGCAGCUGACUGUGAUUUGCCUCGUGCUCUGGCAGCGGCAUGAUUUUGCUAGCUACAGAUUCUUUUGCAAAUGUAUGACAUUUGGAAUUCUGGGGACUCUUGAGUGGGUGCAAAAAUGCUAGAGCCCUGAGAGGGGCUGUGAUGGGGGAUGUUGCUGCCACUCCUCCUCUUCCUCCUCCUUCUGCUCCUCCCCCAUUCUUGCUCCUUCCGCUCCCCUUGCUCCUUCUGCUCCUCCUCCUGCUUCUCCUCUUGCUCUCCCUGCUCCCCCUCUUGCUCCUUCUGCUCCUCCUGCUCCUCUUCUUGCUGCUCCCCCUGCUCCUUCUCCUCCUGCUGGUUGCUGGUAUCCUGAAGAUGAAGAUCAAACUUGCCCCAAGGAUGCCCCUAAUCAGCAGGAAGCAGCUUAACUUGAUAUGGACACCUCCUUUCUCCUCCAACCUUCUUCCUCUCUUACCUAGUGUUGGGGGAUUGGAAGGGAUAAGGGUGGAGCAAGGCGUUAGAAAAAGGAAACGCAUAAAGGGAACCCUUGGCCAUCAGUGGAGCCCACAGGGCUGGGACUGGGAGCCUUCAGCACAGGAUGGGAUGGAAGUGUGGUUAUCAGGUGAGGUACCUCACUGAGUCUGGUACCCACUGGCCAUAGCAGCUCCGAAUGCAAAUGCAUCGGGCCGUGGACCACGGACGGACAUCGCUGACAAAUGACAUCAUUCUCCCAUGAUCAAACCCUCCUGGCACUGGAUGUGUUUGCUGUGAUGCCUGGGGCGAGGCCCCGUUCGCCACAAGGGGCGAGAUUAGUCCUAACACAACUGGACUGCAGAUAGAUGAGACCUGGUUCUGGAUUCAUCAGCUGGGAGGCAGAAGAGUGAGGGCUGCAGACAGGAGACUUGAGGGGUCAUAGAGUGGCCCAGGGUAGACCUGGGGACUCUGGUGUUGGGUUUUAUAAAAAAGAAAGGCAACCCAGGGAUACGUUUGGUAGAGGCAUGGUAUGGUGCAGGGGAAGUGGGUGCCUCUGUGGGUGUGCACCUCUCCCCUGAGGUACCAUAGUAUAGAAUUAGAGUUUAGGGCACAGAGAGGGAAGUUGAGGGGGUAGUAGAGACAGAGAAAGGUAGAGAGAAAGGGUCAGGGAAGGGGGAGAGGGAGAGUAGUAGAGGCUGGCCGUGAACAUGGAGAGAGAAGGGAGGGGAGGGGAAUGGGAGUAAGGGAGUAAGAGGCUGAGGAGGGGGCAGGCAGCCCCUUUUAUACUGAGGCCAGCACACCUGGCUGUUGCCAGGUAACUGUGGGGUGGAGCCUAGAAGAAAUGCUAACAUCUGGUAUCCCAGGAUUCCCUGCUCUUCCCAGCUGUGUUCAGCAGAUCUGCUCACACUCCCUAUCUACUGAGGAAGAAUCAGAGAGGUGAAUGGACUUGCCUAAGGUCACACACAGAGGCAGAGCCUGACUCAGCAGCCCAUCCUGGCUCUACCAGUGAUGGCCAGGUGGCUGGGUGGCAGCAAUCAAAAAGUGACGAAGACAGAAGAAGCUGGCAUACAGGUCUCAAGGGUCCAAGUCAGAGCUGCACAGGGGAAGAGAAAGGAGUUUGCCCCACUAUUUACAACAGGCCCCAUCUGGGGCCCUGAGCCAGCCUGGCUUGUGGAGUCCAUGGUUGUGGAGACAGACUCCAGGAAGGCCCUCAACCUCCUGCCAGUGUGAAUGUAGUCCAGCUUGCAAGAGAGAAGGAGCUCCUGUAAUGUCACAGGUCACUCAACAUUGGGGUUGUGACCUUAGACCUGUGCAGGGAGGAGACAUCCUAUAAAGCCUGUCUGUGAACCCAGAGAGUAAAGACUCUCCUCUCAGCCGCCUAUGAAAUCAAGAGAUUCAGUUAAUA